AACGAACGCUGGCGGCAUGCCUAACACAUGCAAGUCGAACGAAGCCUUCGGGCUUAGUGGCGCACGGGUGCGUAACGCGUGGGAAUCUGCCCUUUGGUUCGGAAUAACAGUUAGAAAUGACUGCUAAUACCGGAUGAUGACUUCGGUCCAAAGAUUUAUCGCCAGAGGAUGAGCCCGCGUAGGAUUAGGUAGUUGGUGGGUAAAGGCCUACCAAGCCGACGAUCCUUAGCUGGUCUGAGAGGAUGAUCAGCCACACUGGGACUGAGACACGGCCCAGACUCCUACGGGAGGCAGCAGUGGGGAAUAUUGGACAAUGGGGGAAACCCUGAUCUAGCCAUGCCGCGUGAGCGAUGAAGGCCUUAGGGUUGUAAAGCUCUUUCAGCGGGGAAGAUAAUGACUGUACCCGCAGAAGAAGCCCCGGCUAACUCCGUG
rnacentral:rRNA from 1 species